UACGUAGGAGGCGAGCGUUGUCCGGAGUUACUGGGCGUAAAGCGCAUGCAGGCGGUCAUGUGAGUCUGUGAUGACAGUUCCCGGCUUAACUGGGAAAGUGUUAUGGAUACUGCAUGACUUGAGGACUUUAGAGGGAUGUGGAACUCCGGGUGGAGUGGUGAAAUGCGUAGAUAUCCGGAAGAACACCAAAGGCGAAGGCAGCAUCCUGGGAAGGACCUGACGCUCAGAUGCGAAAGCCAGGGGAG
rnacentral:rRNA from 1 species